rnacentral:rRNA from 1 species
GGGGAAUCUUAGACAAUGGGGGCAACCCUGAUCUAGCCAUGCCGCGUGGACGAUGAAGGCCCUAGGGUUGUAAAGUCCUUUCGCUGGGGAAGAUAAUGACUGUACCCAGUAAAGAAGUCCCGGCUAACUCCGUGCCAGCAGCCGCGGUAAUACGGAGGGGACUAGCGUUGUUCGGAAUUACUGGGCGUAAAGCGCGCGUAGGCGGAUUGUUAAGUCGGAGGUGAAAUCCCGGGGCUCAACCCCGGAACUGCCCUCGAUACUGGCAGUCUAGAGGUCGAGAGAGGUGAGUGGAAUUCCGAGUGUAGAGGUGAAAUUCGUAGAUAUUCGGAGGAACACCAGUGGCGAAGGCGGCUCACUGGCUCGAGACUGACGCUGAGGUGCGAAAGCGUGGGGAGCAAAC